UUUCCGUAGGUGAACCUGCGGAAGGAUCAUUAAUGUAACCGGACCGGUCUUCUGCCGUCAGACGCAGCGGAUGGGAAUGGGAGAUAUCAUACACCCCUGUGUUUAUUUACUUUUGUUGCUUUGGCGGGCCGUCCUUUUAGGCGUCGGCCCCGGCUGAUCGCGCCCGCCAGAGGACCCAAACUCUUUUAUCAGUGAUGUCUGAGUACUGUAUAAUAGUUAAAACUUUCAACAACGGAUCUCUUGGUUCUG
rnacentral:misc_RNA from 1 species